ACUUUAACAUGGAGGCACUUGCUGUGACAUGAUAAAA
rnacentral:miRNA from 1 species